AGCGAACGUUAGCGGCGGGCCUAACACAUGCAAGUCGAGCGAGAAAGUGGCUUCGGCCACGAGUAAAGCGGCGGACGGGUGAGUAACACGUAGGUAAUCUUCCCUUGAGCGGGGGACAACGAGCCGAAAGGCUCGCUAAUACCGCAUACGUUUCCAGAGGCCCCGGUCUCUGGAAGGAAAGCUAGGCCGCAAGGUCUGGCACUCGAGGAGGAGCCUGCGUCGCAUCAGCUAGUUGGUGGGGUAACGGCCUACCAAGGCGAAGACGCGUAGCUGGUCGGGGAGGAUGAUCAGCCACACUGGGACUGAGACACGGCCCAGACUCCUACGGGAGGCAGCAGUGGGGAAUAUUGGACAAUGGGCGCAAGCCUGAUCCAGCCACGCCGCGUGAGUGAUGAAGGCCUUCGGGUCGUAAAGCUCUGUGGGGAGGGACGAACCGCUGCACGUUCAUAGCGUGCAGCAUGACGGUACCUCCUUAGCAAGCACCGGCUAACUUCGUGCCAGCCGCCGCCGUAA
rnacentral:rRNA from 1 species